UUGUCCUUAGUUACCAGCACGUUAUGGUGGGCACUCUAAGGAGACGUGCCGGUGACAAACCGGAGGAAGGUGGGGAUGACGUCAAGUCAUCAUGGCCCUUACGGCCUGGGCUACACACGUGCUACAAUGGUCGGUACAAAGGGUUGCCAAGCCGCGAAGGUGGAGCUAAUCCCAUAAAACCGAUCGUAGUCCGGAUCGCAGUCUGCAACUCGACUGCGUGAAGUCGGAAUCGCUAGUAAUCGUGAAUCAGAAUGUCACGGUGAAUACGGUUCCCGGGCCUU
rnacentral:rRNA from 1 species